AGUGAACGCUGGCGGUAGGCCUAACUCAUGCAAGUCGAACGGCAGCACAGUAAGAGCUUGCUCUUACGGGUGGCGAGUGGCGGACGGGUGAGGAAUACAUCGGAAUCUACUUUUUCGUGGGGGAUAACGUAGGGAAACUUACGCUAAUACCGCAUACGACCUACGGGUGAAAGCAGGGGAUCUUCGGACCUUGCGCGAUUGAAUGAGCCGAUGUCGGAUUAGCUAGUUGGCGGGGUAAAGGCCCACCAAGGCGACGAUCCGUAGCUGGUCUGAGAGGAUGAGCAGCCACACUGGAACUGAGACACGGUCCAGACUCCUACGGGGGGCAGCAGUGGGGAAUAUUGGACAAUGGGCGCAAGCCUGAUCCAGCCAUACCGCGUGGGUGAAGAAGGCCUUCGGGUUGUAAAGCCCUUUUGUUGGGAAAGAAAAGCAGCAGGUUAAUACCCCGCUGUUCUGACGGUACCCAAAGAAUAAGCACCGGCUAACUUCGUG
rnacentral:rRNA from 1 species